rnacentral:rRNA from 1 species
GGACCCGCACAAGCGGUGGAGUAUGUGGUUUAAUUCGAAGCAACGCGCAGAACCUUACCUACCCUUAACAUCCCGGGACAACCUCAGAGAUGAGGCUUUCUCUUCGGAGACUCGGUGAUAGGUGCUGCAUGGCUGUCGUCAGCUCGUGUCGUAAGAUGUUCGGUUAAGUCCGAUAACGAGCGCAACCCCUAUCCUUAGUUACCAGCAUUAAGUUGGGGACUCUAGGGAGACUGCCGGUGUUAAACCGGAGGAAGGCGGGGAUGACGUCAAGUCCUCAUGGCCCUUACGGGUAGGGCUACACACGUACUACAAUGGCAGUGACAGAGGGACGCUACCAGGUGACUGGAUGCAAAUCUCAAAAAGCUGUCUCAGUUCGGAUUGUUGUCUGCAACUCGACAACAUGAAGUCGGAAUCGCUAGUAAUCG